CCGGCACGGGUGAGUAACACGUAUCCAACCUGCCGUCUACUCUUGGCCAGCCUUCUGAAAGGAAGAUUAAUCCAAGAUGGCAUCAUGAGUCCGCAUGUUCACAUGAUUAAAGGUGUUCCGGUAGACGAUGGGGAUGCGUUCCAUUAGAUAGUAGGCGGGGUAACGGCCCACCUAGUCUUCGAUGGAUAGGGGUUCUGAGAGGAAGGUCCCCCACAUUGGAACUGAGACACGGUCCAA
rnacentral:rRNA from 1 species